CUGACAUGCACAGGGAGUGCCCUCAUCAAUUUUAAUUCUGAAAAUUGCUUAUGCACUACUGCCAUCCGUUUGUCUGGAUCGCUUCUGUGAAGACAGUAGACUCAUCAAUGUGAAGUGCGUCAUGUCAGCACUGGCCAUCGGGGACUUUGAAUCUCCAUUAAAUUAUCUCCUGAGGAACUCACUAGGCAUUCUGAUUGUCCCUACAGAAGAUGACUACCACCUUUGGUCAACAUAUGGCAAAACAGACAAAGUUGAUUUGUUUCGUCAUAGAAGAAUUAGUCCCUGGCAGUCUUGGAAUCUUUGGCCUCAAAUUCCUAGAGAUCCCCCUGCUUCCUGAAUGCUGGAGUUAAAGUACUACAAUAUGUUGUUUUGACUGGAGAAUAUAAAAGUGUUCGUGUC
ensembl:lncRNA